CUACGGGAGGCUCCAGUGGGGAAUAUUGGACAAUGGGGGAAACCCUGAUCCAGCAAUGCCGCGUGUGUGAAGAAGGCCUGCGGGUUGUAAAGCACUUUCGGUUGGGAGGACUGCUUCUAGCACUAAUAUUGUUGGAAGUUGACGUUACCUUCAGAAGAAGCACCGGCUAACUCCGUGCCAGCAGCCGCGGUAAUACGGAGGGGGCAAGCGUUAAUCGGAAUUACUGGGCGUAAGCGCGCGUAGGCGGCUAGAUCAGUCGGGUGUGAAAGCCCCGGACUUAACCUGGGAACUGCAUCCGAUACUGUCUAGCUUGAGUACAGGAGAGGAGAGUGGAAUUCCACAUGUAGCGGUGAAAUGCGUAGAUAUGUGGAGGAACACCAAUGGCGAAGGCAGCUCUCUGGCCUGAUACUGACGCUGAGGUGCGAAAGCGUGGGGAGCAAACAGGAUUAGAUACCCCCGUAGUC
rnacentral:rRNA from 1 species